rnacentral:rRNA from 1 species
CCCGGUAGCUAAAUGCGGAAGAGAUAAGUGCUGAAAGCAUCUAAGCACGAAACUUGCCCCGAGAUGAGUCUUCCCUGAGACUUUAAGUCUCCUGAAGGAACGUUGAAGACGACGACGUUGAUAGGCCGGGUGUGUAAGCGCAGCGAUGCGUUGAGCUAACCGGUACUAAUGAACCGUGAGGCUUAACCUUACAACGCCGAAGCUGUU